rnacentral:rRNA from 1 species
GUGGGUAGUUUGACUGGGGCGGUCUCCUCCCAAAGAGUAACGGAGGAGCACGAAGGUUAGCUAAUCCUGGUCGGACAUCAGGAGGUUAGUGCAAUGGCAUAAGCUAGCUUGACUGCGAGCGUGACGGCGCGAGCAGGUGCGAAAGCAGGUCAUAGUGAUCCGGUGGUUCUGAAUGGAAGGGCCAUCGCUCAACGGAUAAAAGGUACUCCGGGGAUAACAGGCUGAUACCGCCCAAGAGUUCAUAUCGACGGCGGUGUUUGGCACCUCGAUGUCGGCUCAUCACAUCCUGGGGCUGAAGUAGGUCCCAAGGGUAUGGCUGUUCGCCAUUUAAAGUGGUACGCGAGCUGGGUUUAGAACGUCGUGAGACAGUUCGGUCCCUAUCUGCCGUGGGCGCUGGAGAAUUGAGGGGGGCUGCUCCUAGUACGAGAGGACCGGAGUGGACGCAUCACUGGUGUUCGGGUUGUCAUGCCAAUGGCAUUGCCCGGUAGCUAAAUGCGGAAGAGAUAAGUGCUGAAAGCAUCUAAGCACGAAACUUGCCCCGAGAUGAGUUCUCCCUGAGACUUUAAGUCUCCUGAAGGAACGUUAAAGACGAUGACGUUGAUAGGUCGGGUGUGUAAGCGUAGCGAUACGUUGAGCUAACCGAUACUAAUGAACCGUGAGGC